CGGACAGCAGCUACCUCUUAUGGAGCACUUGUGAUGGGCUCACGCGGUUAACGCAUGUACAUGGUUUCAGUCUUCUGACUUGACUUAGCAGCAUUUGACUCUGUUGACCAUCCCCUUCUUCUUAAAACUGGCCCCCGGCUUCUGUGACCUCACAUUAUCCUGGUGUUUGUGGGAUCUCUUUUGAUCAUCAGGUGACAGAAAUCUUGACUUAUACUGGCUUAAACAACAACAAAAGGUUCUGGAGGUCAGAAGUCUGAAAUGGGUUUUAUGGAGCUAAAAUCAAGAUGUUGACAGAAAUGUGUUCCUUCUGGCUGUUCCAGGAGAGAAUCCAUUCCCUUGCUUCUCCCAGCUUCUAGAAGCUGCCCACAUUCUUUGGCUCAUGGUCACAUCAUUCCAACUUCCAAUUCUGUUGUUACAUCUCUUUCUCUAACUCUGACUCCCAUUCCUCCCUCUUAUAAGAACCGUUAUGAUUAUCUUGGGCCUGCUUGAAUAAUCCAGAAUAAUCUCCUCAUUUCAAGAUCCUUGACUUAAUCAUAUCCGCAAAGUUCCUUUUACUAUAUAAGGAAGUCUUCCCUGGUUCAUACUCCCAGGCUGGACCAAGUGCUCCGCCAUGGUGCCUGCUGGAUGUCUUCUCUAUCACAAUAGCAAAGCUUCUCUCUGCCUUGGCCCCUCAGCCUUUGCUCAGUCCUCCCAGUGGAUGGAUCUUUGACAAUUGCACCCAAAAGAAUUCUGACCAGUACACAGGUUCACCAUAAUAUGUAAACAGAGUGACUUGGUCUAUGGUGGCCUGAAGACAAGCCAACAAGCUUUGGAUAGCAGAGCAACGAGAGGCAAAGAACUUGAGCCCUUGAUGACACCAUUAAGCUGCUGAAUUAACGAACCCUGGAGCCCAUCUCAAUUAGGACUUCUUGUUAUGUGAAAUAAUAAAAUUUCCCUAUUGGUUAAGUAAAUUUGAAUUGUUUUUUUUAUUAAAUGUAGCUAAAACCAUCCUUAACUUGAUCUCCAGCCCUCUCCGCCUCCUUCCUGUGAUCUUGGCAGGGAUAGCGUGGAGGUGGGGUGACAUACCUCUGGCUAGCCUAAGGAAUGGUUUGCUUCUCACAGUUACUCUUACUCCUUGGAUGCUAUUUUUUCUUGCAGGCCCCCUUAGCCCCUUCUGGA
rnacentral:lncRNA from 1 species